CAAUAAAGUUGAGUUCCUGCUUCGACAGACUCCCGGCUCCGUGUGUUCCUGUUCGGGCCAUCGACACUCACCAUCCUGCUCAGCCCCUGGGAUGAGAUCAGGCUGGCCCCGAUCUUCCCUCAACUGCAGCUGCCGGAGGACCCGGCAAUAGGGAGAAUAAGAUGGCUAACCAGAAAUUGAGCACUGCAUAGGCCUGGCAUUUCAACACAGGACUUUACACACAUGUUCAUCCAGUGCUCUCAUGAGCUCUGCAGGUAGGAAGAAGAGUCUGGGGUGGUAGAGAGAAGCAGGUGCCCAGAACUUGUUCAGGCUGCAAUGCCCAGAGCUGCGAUCUGCGCUUCAAACUGGCGCCCCUUCCAGUCACGUGACCUGCUGUGAGGCCCUGGGGUGCAGGGUGGGUGGGAUGCGGGCGAGCAGCCACGCCCACACAGCCAAGACGGGUCUCCCUUUGCUGACUCUCAUUGCUACAUGAAAAUCUCUGUGAAAAAAUUAAACUGAUAAAUCACUAUG